rnacentral:rRNA from 1 species
AUGACAGCAAAGAAACAUCUCUUUCGCUUUGGGUCUUUCGCGAUAAAAGACCGGUCGGAGAUUCGUUUCUGGGAAGACAUCUGGCUAGGCAAUGCCAGUCUCCGAGAACAAUAUCCAGCCUUGUACAACAUCGCUCGCAAUAAGAAUAAAACUAUUGCGCAGGUGCUCAGUUCAUUCCCGCCCAAUAUUUCGUUUAGGCGGGAUUUGAUUAGCCCCCGUCUUACGUCAGGGCAUAAUCUUUUAUCCCGUUUGGAUUUGAUCAAUUUGACACAAGGUCGGAAUGUGUUUUGCUGGAACCUUACUACAUCGGUGUCACAGUAG